GUGCUCACUUCAGUUAGCACAUACACUAAAACUGAAAUGAUACAGAGAAGAUAUCCAUGGCCCCUGUGCCAGGAUGACACGCAAAUUCGUGAAGCGUUCCAGACCAUG